rnacentral:rRNA from 1 species
UACGUAGGGUGCAAGCGUUGUCCGGAAUUAUUGGGCGUAAAGAGCUCGUAGGCGGUCUGUCGCGUCGGCUGUGAAAACUCGGGGCUCAACCCCGAGCCUGCAGUCGAUACGGGCAGACUAGAGUUCGGUAGGGGAGAACGGAAUUCCUGGUGUAGCGGUGAAAUGCGCAGAUAUCAGGAGGAACACCGGUGGCGAAGGCGGGUCUCUGGGCCGUAACUGACGCUGAGGAGCGAAAGCGUGGGGAGCGAACAGG